rnacentral:rRNA from 1 species
GGAAUCUUCCACAAUGGGCGAAAGCCUGAUGGAGCGACGCCGCGUGAGGGAUGAAGGCCUUAGGGUUGUAAACCUCUAAAAGAGGGACGAUAAUGACGGUACCUCUUGAAUAGCACCGGCUAACUCCGUGCCAGCAGCCGCGGUAAUACGGAGGGUGCAAGCGUUAUCCGGAUUUACUGGGUUUAAAGGGUGUGUAGGCGGAUAUUUAAGUCAGAGGUGAAAUCUCCGGGCUCAACCCGGAAACUGCCUUUGAUACUAUUUAUCUUGAAUUUCGUUGAGGUUGGCGGAAUAUAUCAUGUAGCGGUGAAAUGCAUAGAUAUGAUAUAGAACACCGAUUGCGUAGGCAGCUGGCUGAACGACGAUUGACGCUGAGGCACGAAAGCGUGGGUAGCGA